AUCUUUGCGCCAGAUUAUGGUUCUGGCAGGGCAUUCGCCCUUCGCCGGAUGAAAAGGGAAUCCCGUGCAAAUCGGGAGCUGUCCCCGCAACUGUAAGCGUUAUUAAACCUGCUGCCAAAACCACAGGCCACUGUUCCGGAGCAAUCUGAAAUGGGAAGGCCGUGCAGCAGGAACGCAAGCCAGGAGACCUGCCAUGAUUCUAAACUUCAA
rnacentral:ncRNA from 2 species